rnacentral:pre_miRNA from 1 species
UUUAUACUCCCUUCGUCCCGAGUUACUUGCCGCAGAAAUGGAUGUAUCAAGAACUAAAAAUGCGUCUAGGUACAUCCAUUUCUGUGACAAGUGAUUCCGGACGGAGGGAGUAUGAU